rnacentral:lncRNA from 1 species
CUAGAUUUCAGGGGAGGAACCCGAGGAAUUAAAGAAACAAGGAAAGAGGACUAGCCUGGGGAAGGUGGGAGGUGGGACCAAAGAGAGGGUGGGCCCGGGCGGGGCGGGGCGGGGCCGGGCCGUAGGGGCGAGGUUUGCAGGCCGAGGCUGCAGCGACGGCUGCUCAGUCACUGCUCCAAUCCACUACCUCCAAAGGUGCCACGGGACCCACGGAACUACAGGUGGUCCUGCUGAGCCCAGGAGCUGCACGGAAUGGUGGCAGUCACCUUGCCAGUGCAGCAGGCAUGGACCAGACUGCAAGCUAGGGGAACAAAGCAUC